rnacentral:rRNA from 1 species
CCUACGGGGGACAGCAGUGAGGAAUCUUGGUCAAUGGGCGCGAGUCUGAACCAGCCAAGUAGCGUGAAGGAUGACUGCCCUAUGGGUUGUAAACUUCUUUUAUAAGGGAAUAAUAUGAUCCACGUGUGGGAUUUUGUAUGUACUAUAUGAAUAAGGAUCGGCUAACUCAGUGCCAGCAGCCGCGGUAAUACGGAGGAUCCGAGCGUUAUCCGGGUUUAUGGGGUUUAAGGGGUGCGUAGGGGGAUGUUAAAGUCAGUGUGAAAGUGUGCGGGCUCAACCCGGGACUGCCGUUGAAACUGGGUGUCUUGAGUGCAGGAGAAGUAUGCGGAAUUCGUGGUGUAGCGGUGAAAUGCAUAGAUAUCACGAAGAACUCCGAUUGCGAAGGCAGCAUACUG